UACAUGACAUGUUUAUUGAUUUACAUCCUGGUAAUUAGGAUGGUUGUUAUGUUAGAGAUCGGUUAGAUCGAUAUCCUGAUUGUAGGGUGGUUGCUAUGUUAGUGAUCGGUUAGAUAGGUAUCUUGGGUAAAGGAUGGUUGCCAUGAUUAGUGAUAUGUUAGAUUUGUAUUCUUAAUUGUUUAUAUGUAUGUACACAUAUUUGUUGGUUUGGGGAAAAGGGUUGAGGCGGGUCCUGCUGUGUGCAGUAGGCCAAGACACCCUGGGUGGACCGGGUAGACUGCAAGCCCGGGCAGGGCAAAUCUCAGGUUGAAGGCCCAGUGAGCGGUCCGGAUAGGAUGAAGGCCCGAGGAGGGCGGUCCAGAUGUGCUGAGGGCUCAAAGAGCGGUCCAGAUAGACUGAGGACCGGGAUUUGGUCCAGUCAGACUGAUGGCUCAUUAUGUACUUCUGAUGAUCGCACGGAGGCGAAGGCGUGAUCGAACAACUCCUCAUAUUUCAUGAUUUCUUUAUUUGAUUCUAGGGAUACUCUAGUGAUUAAACAAUUCUAGAAUCAAACUGUAAUAAGUUAAUAGUUUUAAAUGUUUUAAAAAGUUUUAAAUUGGUUUGAA